rnacentral:misc_RNA from 1 species
UUUUUUUUUUUUUUUUGUGAUUUCUUAGUUGAGUAUGGCAUGUUGAGUCAGUUUCAAAGAUUUCAUCACAAUUCAUAAGACAUCCUUGGGUCUGCCCUUGAACUUCUUUGCUAAUCUUCAAGCAACCUUAUGGAAAGUCAUGAUGCCAACAGUUUGUAUUUAAGCAACAUUUUCCUGAGAUAAAUUAGUGGUUGGAGCAUAAGUUUUUAGAUUCAUUCUCCAAAUUCAUUCAUAUGCAUAAAUGCCCUUAUACUAUUAAUAUCUGCAACCAAAAUGCUAUGGCAAUCCCCUUAUCCAUCAGUAGGAUUUGUGUUGAGGAGACCUGGGAUAACUUGAUAAUGACUGAUGGGCCAAUAAAAUUUAGGCCUAUUGAAAAGAAUUUUCUGAGGUAACAUUUGACUGAUUAUGCUUUCAGAUCUUGGACUGGGGCUUGGAUCCACCUGUAAAUGAGUUCCUACCCCUUGGAUAUCACCUAAGCUGUGGUUGAAGAAGUGGGAGAGGAAUAGGUCUUAACUUAGAUAUUUUGCAUAGUUUCAAAGAAAAGAAUGAUAAAAUCAUGCAAAAUUUUCAGGCCAUUUAUAUAAAUCAGGAAUAGGUUUUAAUAUGUGUUUCUUAUAUAAUUAAUGCCCUAAACUUUUGCAUCUUUGUUACUUUAUGACAGGUAUGGAACCCUAUGCAUACGUGAGAAUCCAGGGUGUCUCUUUAUUGCUACCAAUCGCGAUGCAGUGGGACAUAUGACUGAUUUACAGGAGUGGCCUGGUAAUGAAGCUAACCUUUCAUGUGAAUUACAUGCUUUCACGGCUUGGCUUUAUAAUAUCUUAUGUGAAUUUAAGGGGCCGGUUGUAUGGUUGCUGCAAUGUGUGGUUCAACUGAGAGAGAGCCUAUUGUAGUUGGAAAACCAUCAACCUUCAUGAUGGAUUUUUUAUUGCAGAAGUAAGUUCUAAUGUUCAUUCUUAUUUGCCCUUAUCUUGUAGAUCAUAUUUGCUAUUUUGCUUAGAUGUAUUGUAUAUUGGAAUCUGGAAUCUCUAAUUGAUUGGAAACCUUGAGGCUCAUCAUCGAGAAUGAGUUGCAGGUUUUAAACUGACAAGGUCAUAUUUUUGACAUUUCAAUAAUAUGUUUUGCUUAGCAGAUUUCAAGUAAGUACCUCCAAAAUGUGUAUGGUUGGUGAUAGACUAGACACUGACAUUUUAUUUGGAAAAAAUGCUGGCUGCAAAACUCUUCUUGUUCUCUCA